rnacentral:rRNA from 1 species
GACGAACGCUGGCGGCGUGCUUAACACAUGCAAGUCGAACGAAGUGGCGAACGGGUGAGUAACGCGUAAUCAACCUGCCCUUCAGAGGGGGACAACAGUUGGAAACGACUGCUAAUACCGCAUACUGAAGGAGGUGAUUGCGUCUGAUUAGCUAGUUGGGGGGGUAACGGCCCACCAAGGCGAUGUUCAGUAGCCGGUCUGGGAGGGUGAACGGCCACACUGGGACUGGGACACGGCCCAGACUCCUACGGUAGGCAGCAGUGGGGAAUCUUCCGCAAUGGACGAAAGUCUGACGGAGCAACGCCGCGUGAGUGAUGACGGCCUUCGGGUUGUAAAGCUCUGUUAAUCGGGACGCGGUACCUGAAUAGAAAGCCACGGCUAACUACGUGCCAGCAGCCGCGGUAAUUC